rnacentral:rRNA from 1 species
GAUGAACGCUGGCGGCGUGCUUAAUACAUGCAAGUCGAACGGAAAGGCCCUGCUCUUGCGGGGUGCUCGUGAGGCGCACGGGUGAGUAACACGCGAGUAAAAUGCCCCUGACUUUGGGAUAUCACCUGGGAAAUGGGGCUAAUAUCGGAUAGGAUCUCCUGAUCCACGGGGGGGGUUGGUAAGAGACGGCGGUUGGGGAUGGUGUCGCGGCUUAUCAGCUUGAUGGUGGGGUAGUGGCUUUACAAGGCUGUGACGGGUAGCCGGCCUGAGAGAGUGACCGGCCACAUUGGGACUGAGAGACGGCCCAGACUACUACGGGAGGCAGCAGUGGGGAAUAUUGCACAAUGGGCGGAAGCCUGAGGCAGCAACGCCGCGUGCGGGAUAACGGCUUUCGGGUUGUAAACCGCUUUGUCCUGUGACGAAGCGUGAGUGACGGUAAUGGGUAAAGAAGCACCGGCUAACUACGUG